rnacentral:snoRNA from 2 species
CCAAUAUAGUCAUCCAUUGAGGUUACUCGUGGCUCUGUCCAAGUGGUAUAUGGGAGCGUAGCCCUAACUGCAAUGAUGUACAAUCCCCUUCCACAGUGUUGAAGAGUAAGCCUGUCUUUGGUUCUAGAGCUGAUGAGAGCAGCAUCCUUUAUAUUCCUAUAACUUCUCCGUCUCUAGACAAUUACUGAGGAGAAACCUUGCAGGGUGUAAGA